AAUGGGCGAAAGCCUGAUCCAGCCAUUCCGCGUGAGUGAAGAAGGCCUUCGGGUUGUAAAGCUCUUUCGGCAGGAACGAAACGGUGAGAGCUAAUAUCUCUUACUAAUGACGGUACCUGAAGAAGAAGCACCGGCUAACUACGUGCCAGCAGCCGCGGUAAUACGUAGGGUGCGAGCGUUAAUCGGAAUUACUGGGCGUAAAGCGUGCGCAGGCGGUGACUCAAGUCAGAUGUGAAAGCCCCGGGCUUAACCUGGGAACGGCAUUUGAAACUAGGUCGCUAGAGUAUGGCAGAGGGGGGUAGAAUUCCACGUGUAGCAGUGAAAUGCGUAGAGAUGUGGAGGAAUACCGAUGGCGAAGGCAGCCCCCUGGGUCAAUACUGACGCUCAUGCACGAAAGCGUGGGGAGCAAA
rnacentral:rRNA from 1 species